rnacentral:lncRNA from 1 species
AGAGACAGGAUGUCACUAAGUUGCUUAGAGCCUUGCUAAAUUGCUGAGGCUGACUUUGAACUUGUGAUCCUCCUGCCUCAACCACCUGAGCCACUGAGAUUACAGGUGUGUGUCACUGCAUGCAGCAUAAUUUAAGGUUUUUGUUUUGUUUUAUAGUUUUUCAUUUAUGAAUAUUCAUGUCUGCUUCUGAAUGCUUGAGAGCUGGAACCAAGGCACUAGGUGGUGAACAUUGCUGAACUGUCUGCUAUGGAAGAAGAAAUGAGGGUUUGUAGAAGUAGGGAGGAGUAGGGCCAAUACCUCAGAGAGCAGUGAGGAUGCAGUACAUGCAUAUGUAGAGACAAGGGGACCUGUCCUUAUCCUUUGCUUGCACAGCAGAAAUUCUAAUUACAGAGAUAAGACACCCAGUGUAUAUGUAAUGUUAAUUGUGUUCAUUUGAUGGCUGAUAUAACUGGUGUUGAUUUUAAAUGCAGACUUUAACCAGAUGCAGAUUUUAACCAGACUUAAGGAGAUACACAGGGAGAAGGACGGGGCAGUUAGAAGUGGGGUCUUUAAUAACCUCAACCGAGUUACUGAUCACACUAUUUCUAGAACCUAACCCUACUUCUAAAGUCUCUUUUAUUAAGACAAUUAAUGUAAUUAUGAUUUCAAUGGUCUGAGUGAGGAUUUUCUUUCUGUUUCAGCCUGAAACAUCCUGACUCUCUACAGUAUGUUUUUAAGAUUUUUCUCUUUAUCUUUAGUAUCCUAAACUUUUUAAAUGUCUCAUAGAUUCAGAUAGAAUUAGUCAUUUUUAUUUUUGCUAGGCAUUUGCCAGCCCCUUUCACUCUAGAAAUUCAUAUACUUCUAUUUUUAUGAAAUAAUUUAUUGUGUCUUUGAUAAUUGCUUCCUUUAUUUCCCUGUAUUUUCUCAUUCUGGACUGCCAUCAUAAACAGGUGAACAAGUCAGGUGAGUACUAUACAAUAAGAAUUUUUAAGUGACCUC